rnacentral:piRNA from 1 species
UACGGAUGAUGAUUAGUCCUAAGUGCUUCCC